UACAGAGGUCUCAAGCGUUGUUCGGAUUCAUUGGGCGUAAAGGGUGUGUAGGUGGCGCGCUAAGUCGGGUGUGAAAUUUCGGAGCUUAACUCCGAAACUGCAUUCGAUACUGGUGUGCUUGAGGACUGGAGAGGAGACUGGAAUUCAUGGUGUAGCAGUGAAAUGCGUAGAGAUCAUGAGGAAGACCAGUGGCGAAGGCGGGUCUCUGGACAAAUCCUGACGCUGAGGCGCGAAGGCUAGGGGAGCAAACGGG
rnacentral:rRNA from 1 species